UGGGAAUGAGAAUCAGAGUUAAUGAGGAGAAGAGGCAAGUGACUACAGUGUUCCUGAGAUUGCCAGAUAAAUAUGUAUGAGGUUGACAAGACACAGAAAGUAAAUACUGAACCAAUAACCAGUGGAACAAGAGUAAACAGGCUUUCGGUUUGGAAUGGAGCAGAAAGAGGAGAAGGAGCAGAAACCACCCAGAGCAGGAAAAGUUUCUGGAAGCAGGAGGAUUAACGUCCUCAGAUCAGAGAUCAUACCAGUCCGUGGUAUUCAGGAAACCAUUCUUCCAACUGAACCUCAGCAAUUACAACCCAGAGACAUCCUGCUUUAGGAAGAACAUCUUACUGGAAUCCUCCAGCUGCUGCAGCCAUAGCUCCAAUCUCUGAGCAGGACAGUAUUAGUCACAGCUGUAAUGCUCGCUCUGGUUGUGAACUUUGACUCCUUUCAGGUUGGUGCUAAAGAUAUUAGCAACAACUCGCAGUUGGCUAUCAACAGUACACGGAAGUCACCGAUGGGUUCUGUUGGAAAAGAAAUAAUGUGGUCUUUUCUUGAUAGAGGGAAGCAGUUAGAGUGGGUUUUGCCAGCUUUCUCAUGAUGCAUGGUGUGUUUGAUUAAAGUAUUUCUCAGGCAAAGCAUGUCAACUCUGCCAAAUGCAGUGCUCAAUGUCCCUUCCCUCAAUGUCCAGCUGGUGUGAGAGGCUGUGGUAGAGCAAUCUGCUGGUCAGUGCCUGGAAUCCUGGCAGUUGUCAUGUUGCCUUCAUUCUGGAGCAGUAUGCCAUCCAUAUUUCAGCCACCAGGGGAAACCAAAGGGUAGCUACAGGGGAACAAGACACUGGGUGAUAUGGUUCAGAACUUAUGCACACUUGUGCAUCCACAACUCAAGAAAAUACAUCCCGGACUAGACCACUGGCAAGCUGAAAAAAACAAUUCUACUGCCCUGCAUGACCCUGGAGGAAUUCUUUAA